GGAGAAAUGGCUGAGCGGUUAAAAGCGACAGUCUGUAAAACUGUUGAAUUAUUUCUACGUAAGUUCGAAUCUUACUUUCUCCA
rnacentral:tRNA from 1 species